CCUACGGGUGGCAGCAGUGGGGAAUUUUGCGCAAUGGGCGAAAGCCUGACGCAGCAACGCCGCGUGAGUGAUGAAGGCCUUCGGGUCGUAAAGCUCUGUCAGAGGGGAAGAACCACCUGAAGGUUAAUAUCCUUCAGGCCUGACGGUACCCUCAAAGGAAGCACCGGCUAACUCCGUGCCAGCAGCCGCGGUAAUACGGAGGGUGCAAGCGUUGUUCGGAAUUAUUGGGCGUAAAGCGCGUGUAGGCGGUCUGUUAAGUCUGAUGUGAAAGCCCCGGGCUCAACCCGGGAAGUGCAUUGGAAACUGGCCGACUUGAGUACGGGAGAGGGUAGUGGAAUUCCGAGUGUAGGGGUGAAAUCCGUAGAUAUUCGGAGGAACACCGGUGGCGAAGGCGGCUACCUGGACCGAUACUGACGCUGAGACGCGAAAGCGUGGGGA
rnacentral:rRNA from 1 species